UACGUAGGGUGCGAGCGUUAAUCGGAAUUACUGGGCGUAAAGCGUGCGCAGGCGGUUUUGUAAGCCAGAUGUGAAAUCCCCGGGCUCAACCUGGGAAUGGCAUUUGGGACUGCAGGGCUCGAGUGCGGCAGAGGAGACUGGAAUUCCUGGUGUAGCAGUGAAAUGCGUAGAUAUCAGGAGGAACACCGAUGGCGAAGGCAGGUCUCUGGGCUGACACUGACGCUCAUGCACGAAAGCGUGGGGAGCAAACAGG
rnacentral:rRNA from 1 species